GGGGGAACCGGUACAGAGUCAAUGUGGAGGCUAUAUACAGGGUAUUACGGUACAGAGUCAAUGUGGAGGCUAUAUACAGGGUAUUACGGUACAGAGUCAAUGUGGAGGCUAUAUACAGGGUAUUACGGUACAGAGUCAAUGUGGAGGCUAUAUACAGGGUGUUACGGUACAGAGUCAAUGUGGAGGCUAUAUACAGGGUGUUACGGUACAGAGUCAAUGUGGAGGCUAUAUACAGGGUAUUACGGUACAGAGUCAAUGUGGAGGUUAUAUACAGGGUGUUACGGUACAGAGUCAAUGUGGAGGCUAUAUACAGGGUAUUACGGUACAGAGUCAAUGUGGAGGUUAUAUACAGGGUGUUACGGUACAGAGUCAAUGUGGAGGCUAUAUACAGGGUAUUACGGUACAGAGUCAAUGUGGAGGCUAUAUACAGGGGUACCGGUACAGAGUCAAUGUGGAGGCUAUAUACAGGGUAUUACGGUACAGAGUCAAUGUGGAGGCUAUAUACAGGGUAUUACGGUACAGAGUCAAUGUGGAGGCUAUAUACAGGGUAUUACGGUACAGAGUCAAUGUGGAGGCUAUAUACAGGGUAUUACGGUACAGAGUCAAUGUGGAGACGAUAUACAGGUGGGGUACCAGUACAGAGUCAAUGUGGA
ensembl:lncRNA